CCUACGGGAGGCAGCAGUAGGGAAUAUUGGGCAAUGGUCGGAAGACUGACCCAGCCAUGCCGCGUGCAGGAAGAAGGCCCUCUGGGUUGUAAACUGCUUUUAUCUGGGAAGAAAAAGGCCAUGCGUGGCAGAUUGCCGGUACCAGAUGAAUAAGCACCGGCUAACUCCGUG
rnacentral:rRNA from 1 species